UACGAAGGGGGCUAGCGUUGUUCGGAAUUACUGGGCGUAAAGGGCGCGUAGGCGGCGUGUCAAGUCAGGCGUGAAAGCCCCGAGCUUAACUUGGGAAUUGCGCUUGUGACUGGCGUGCUGGAGUGUGGCAGAGGGAGGUGGAAUUCCACGUGUAGCAGUGAAAUGCGUAGAGAUGUGGAGGAACACCGAUGGCGAAGGCAGCCUCCUGGGCCAGCACUGACGCUCAUGCACGAAAGCGUGGGGAGCAAACAGG
rnacentral:rRNA from 1 species